GACGAACGCUGGCGGCGUGCCUAAUACAUGCAAGUAGAACGCACAGUUUAUACCGUAGCUUGCUACACCAUAGACUGUGAGUUGCGAACGGGUGAGUAACGCGUAGGUAACCUGCCUGGUAGCGGGGGAUAACUAUUGGAAACGAUAGCUAAUACCGCAUAAUAUUAAUUAUUGCAUGAUAAUUAAUUGAAAGGUGCAAUUGCACCACUACCAGAUGGACCUGCGUUGUAUUAGCUAGUAGGUGAGGUAACGGCUCACCUAGGCGACGAUACAUAGCCGACCUGAGAGGGUGAUCGGCCACACUGGGACUGAGACACGGCCCAGACUCCUAAGGGAGGCAGCAGUAGGGAAUCUUCGGCAAUGGACGAAAGUCUGACCGAGCAACGCCGCGUGAGUGAAGAAGGUUUUCGGAUCGUAAAGCUCUGUUGUAAGAGAAGAACGGGUGUGAGAGUGGAAAGUUCACACUGUGACGGUAUCUUACCAGAAAGGGACGGCUAACUACGUG
rnacentral:rRNA from 1 species